GGAGACCUUAUAAGGCCUGUGGGUGGCCAGUCUGGCAGUUAUAGAAUUACAGAAGCAUAGGGGUCAGAAGAGACCUCUGGAGAUCAUGUAGUCCAAUGCCUGCUAAAGCGAUUUCCCUGGAGGAGGUGAACCCACAAUGAUAUCUGCACUGGGAGAGAGGCAGGAACAGCUGGGACCUGGUUGGCACAGAUCACUCCACCAUCACCCAUGGAGCUCUGUCUGUUCUGUGUGUAAGAAACCAGGUAACACCCAGGUUGUUCCCUGCUGCCCCCUACUGGAGCUGGGUACAGCCCAUGAGCCAAACCACGGGAGAAAUCCACACGCUCCAGAAGUACUGAGGGUAGCAGUCAGCAGUCCGAUUGCACUGGCAAGGGAUGGACAGCCAGCAGCAGGUGGUGGAUGCUCUCAGCUGGAGCUGAGAUAAGCAGCAGCUCCAGGGACGUUCCGCAGGAUGAGGAACCAUUGGCUCAUUGGGACCCAGCUUCUGAGCAGCCCUACGCACCCAGUAACGGCAGUCGUGCUCCUUCAGCAGGAUGACUGGGCCGGGCGGUGAGCACCACAGCACUCCUUCUUAUAGCAAGAUGCUGUCGGCGGCAGGCCCUGAUUCUGAUUUUGAAGAGGGAAAAUCCAGGCAGAGGAUGUGGACCUCACCAGAGGAAGGACGGUCUGUUCUCCAGCUGUCCAGGCUCCAUCCUAACUUGCCAAAAAAACAGUGCAAAUUUCUAACAGUUCACAGGAAAAAGAAUGUCCAUAUUGACAGGGUAUAAAUCCUUCCUUACGUACGAGAAUGGUACAUACCCGGCAUCUCUAUCAAAUAUCGUAGAAAAGGUUACACAAAAAUAGUUAAAUAUAUGGAUACAGAUACAUAGAUAUUACACUUGCAUAAAAUAUGUAGAUUCAAAACCCUUUGGGCAGUUUCACAGUUAGCUGAAAAUGUAUGCUUUAGAAAUAUGAACAAUUUCCUACACUUUUCUAGUUUAAGUAGGAGGGGAAAGGGAAGAAGCAUCAGCCUUAUUAAUACUGAAUGCUAAGUGCAGGAAUUUAGCUGUAGCUGUAGGGCUUUGAAGCAAUUGAUUUGACAGAACCUCCAAGCAUAAACUCUGUUUUAAAAAUCCACAUUUAUUCCCUAGAUCGCUUAUUGUUUCAUGAAAAUGAAAACCUACGUGCCCUGCUUGUAUCAUCUAGAUCUCCUGAGACCGCUCAAUGAAACCUCACAAGCUUGCAAUACUUCAAGGUAGGGUCAUGCACUGGGAGUACACAUGAGCCUUAUUGCAGCAUUUCUGUGUGAUAACAGGAAUUCAUAACUUCUCACAUCCUGUAGAAUUUAACUUUAGAAAUGCAAAACCUUGAAUGACACCACAAGAAGCUCACAGUUCUGAAAAAAUUAAAUUCAGUAUGAAAUUUUACUUACAGACCACAUCAUUUACACAGAUUUACAUAAAUACAGAGAUAUUAAAAUAUUAAAUCAAACCUAAUUAACAGAGGAUAGAGGUUUACAUGAUAACAUUUUAAUUCAUUACAUUUCUGCAACUAUUCUUAGUGUCAUGAGAUUAUAUAAAUAAUAUAUAUAUCUAUAUAUCCAUAAUAUGUAUAAAGAUAUAUAUAUUUCCAUCCUUUUUUUUUUCCUCAAAAAUAGGGCAAUUUUAUAACUGCAAUGAGAUGUGACAAGCAGUACACUUCUGGGGAAUUAUUGCAUGCCUUGAGUGCAUAAGGCAGAAGGAAGAGUGUCUGACUAGAGACGCUAAAGAAGUAAAACCAUCAACCAGAAAUGCACUGGAGUGAUUUGGAACAUCUUAUUGCUUUUAUAAAACUCAAAAUUAUAUACUGAUUUUUAAGAAAAGGCACAAAAUAAAGGGGAAAAUAAUAUCUCUCUAUUUAGUGGA
rnacentral:lncRNA from 1 species